rnacentral:rRNA from 1 species
UACGUAGGGUGCAAGCGUUAAUCGGAAUUACUGGGCGUAAAGCGUGCGCAGGCGGUUAUGCAAGGCAGAUGUGAAAUCCCCGGGCUCAACCUGGGAACUGCAUUUGUGACUGCAUAGCUAGAGUGCGGCAGAGGGAGAUGGAAUUCCGCGUGUAGCAGUGAAAUGCGUAGAUAUGCGGAGGAACACCGAUGGCGAAGGCAAUCUCCUGGGCCUGCACUGACGCUCAUGCACGAAAGCGUGGGGAGCAAACAGG